GUGUAAUAGCUUUGGGUAAUGAAAAUAGGCUGUAAGUAUUACAAAAAAUGCCAGAAAGUCAAAAUCAGUUCAAAAUUUACCUCUCUGCUUUCAGAUUUUCUUUGUAAGAGUGGAUAUUUUAGUUAUGAAAAUUCAAAUUAUACUAAGGCUGUCAGGGAAAACCCAAUAAAGGUAAACUAAUAUACUUUAAUAUAUCCUCAAAUUUCAUGCUUGCAUUUUUAAUUUUAGAAACAUACUUAAAAUAUGUGGCUCUUGUCUUUGGUGAGAGAGGAGUGGAAAAAAAAUCUUUGCAUUCCAGGAAGCAGCCCAAUUUUAAUUAAAAAUGCCAGGCUAAUUUGUCUCCCUCCCAGAGGCACCGAUAUUUUGCCUUUGGGCUGUUGUGUAGACUUGUCUGCCAUUUGUCUGAAUAUAAAUAACUCUCAUUUUCACACUUGUCUUUUCUUGCAGUUUGUCAAAAUGGUUGCUUAUAGCAGUAAAUUAAUUUCCUAUCUAAUGAACAUCUAUCUAUCUACAGAGAGACAGACAGACAGACAGACAACAUAGGUACACUAUCCAUUAUGAUAAUAUAGCACCAUUUGCAGUCGUCAAUGAUAGCACGUGUGAUGCUUUGAAAAUGAUUUUUGAUCAAAAUGGCAGAAUAGGAAUUUUCUACUAUUUUUCCCAAAGAACAUCAAUUUUAACAGUCACCUUAUUCAUGAGAGUGACUUUGUGGAAGUCUGAGACUUGAGGGGUGAAGUUCUAGCACACCACUGGAACAAAAUCAAUCUGAGAUUGGACACAUUGAAGAGGGUAAGAGGAACAAUUUUUCUUUACUUGCAUCAUCUCUUCCCAGAGGCAGCACAGCCCAGUGCCAAGAGAGACUUUCUUGAUCCAAGAAUUCUCCCAUAGGGGAAAGUGAAAGCAUAUGAAUGAGCAUCCAGCUUGUCCAGCUGUGUAGGAUGCUGCCAAAGAGACCUCCUUGUCCUUACCCUAUCCAGAUUAAAGUGUAUGUGCUUCAUGACUCAGUGAUGGGGAGCAACUGGGAGAAUAGCCAGAGAUCUGGGAGGGCACCAACAGGAUGUAGAUCCACUCACCUCUUCAUAGAUUCCACCAGCCUGUCUAUUUUCCACUGGGUACACCUUGCCUAUGUAUCUCCUCAACUAACCCAUGAGCACCCCCAGUGCUUUAUGUAACUUACCC
ensembl:lncRNA